rnacentral:rRNA from 1 species
CAGCCGUAAACUAUGCGCGUUAGGUGUACUGGUGACCACGAGUCACCGGGGUGCCGAAGGGAAACCGUGAAACGUGCCGCCUGGGAAGUACGGUCGCAAGGCUGAAACUUAAAGGAAUUGGCGGGGGAGCACCAUAACGGGUGGAGCCUGCGGUUUAAUUGGACUCAACGCCGGAAAUCUCACCGGAUAGGACAGACAUAUGAUAGUCGGGCUGAAGACUCUACUUGAUGAUCUGAGAGGAGGUGCAUGGCGUUCAGUGACU